UGGUAUCUCAUGGUGAAAAUUUUUCUCUUGUUGGUGCACAAAAUUAUGGCCUUUUUAUGAUUGUCGCACAAACCAGGUAAGACAGGAUAAGAGCUGGAGUUUGUUGCAAUUCAAAUCAUUUUGAAUUUCAAUUUGACUCCAAUAUUUUCUCAUCUUUAUCUGAAUUAAAGAGAGACUUAUCAAAGAAAAUUAGGCAUAGAAAAUAUUUAGAAAGACUUCCUUUUCUCGCACACAAUGGGCCCCUUGA
rnacentral:lncRNA from 1 species